UGGGGAAUAUUGGACAAUGGGCGAAAGCCUGAUCCAGCCAUGCCGCGUGUGUGAAGAAGGUCUUCGGAUUGUAAAGCACUUUAAGUUGGGAGGAAGGGCAGUAAGCGAAUACCUUGCUGUUUUGACGUUACCGACAGAAUAAGCACCGGCUAACUCUGUGCCAGCAGCCGCGGUAAUACAGAGGGUGCAAGCGUUAAUCGGAAUUACUGGGCGUAAAGCGCGCGUAGGUGGUUCGUUAAGUUGAAUGUGAAAGCCCCGGGCUCAACCUGGGAACUACAACCAAAACUGGCGAGCUAGAGUAGGGCAGAGGGUGGUGGAAUUUCCUGUGUAGCGGUGAAAUGCGUAGAUAUAGGAAGGAACACCAGUGGGGAAGGCGACCACCUGGGCUCAUACUGACACUGAGGUGCGAAAGCGUGGGGAGCAAACAGG
rnacentral:rRNA from 1 species